UCCAGCGCGUCCCAAGAUGGCGGGCGAGCGGGGCUCGGCUCCUGAGGCGCCUGGGGCCGCCCCGCAAAGCCGGGGUUUGGGGGAGCGCUGGCCGCCGCGGUCCCCUCGUGACCCCGUGGGUGUGUGUGGUUUUCAGAGCGGCCCUGUGCUUGGUGGACUUGCAGGAGGACUUAGGCGACUCUCUCUGCUAUGGCCUGGGAAAGCAGUGGAAGAUGGUACCUACGUGGGAGACCUGGAAGAAGCUCCUGGCUCCUGGCUUCGGAUCAGCUCAGCUCCGGCCAUUGCCGCCAUCUGGGGAGUGAACCAGCGGAUGGAAAACCUCUCUCUCUCUGUCUCUACCUCUCUGUAACUCUGACUUUCAAAUAAAUAAAUAAAUCUUAAAAAAAUA